GUCCAUGGUACACGGAUUCCCCACUCGCACUAUCAUUUUCUAUGUUCAGUGGACCGUGAAAUUGGGGUCAAAACUUUAAUUAGGAAUUAAAAUUAGAAAGAUCAUAUCAUAGGGAACAUGUGUACUAAGUUUCAAGUUGAUGUGACUUUAACUUCAUCAAAAACUACCUUGACCAAAAACUUUAACCUGAACUUCGCACUAUCAUUUUCUUUGUUCAGUGGACCAUGAAAUUGGGGUCAAAACUAUAAUUUGGCAUUAAAAUUAGAAAGACCAUAUCAUGGGGAACAUGUGUACUAAGUUUCAAGUUGAUUGGACUUCAACUUCUUCAAAAACUAUCUUGACAAAAAACUUUAACCUGAAGCGAACGGACGCACGGACGGACGAACGAAUGAACGGAGGCACAGACCAGAAAACAUAAUGCCCCUCUACUAUCGUAGAUGGGGCAUAAAAA
rnacentral:lncRNA from 1 species